rnacentral:rRNA from 1 species
UGUGUAGGCGGUUCUCUAUGUUCGGUGUGAAAUCUCCCGGCUUAACUGGGAGGGUGCGCCGAAAACUGGAGGGCUUGAGUAUGGGAGAGGAAAGCGGAAUUCCUGGUGUAGCGGUGAAAUGCGUAGAUAUCAGGAGGAACACCUGCGGUGUAGACGGCUUUCUGGACCAUCACUGACGCUGAGACACGAAAGCGUGGGUAGCAAACAGGAUUAGAUACCCUGGUAGUCCACGCCCUAAACGAUGCAUACUUGGUGUGAGCCGUUCAUUCGGUUCGUGCCGGAGCUAACGCGUUAAGUAUGCCGCCUGGGGAGUACGGUCGCAAGGCUGAA